rnacentral:rRNA from 1 species
UACGAGGGGGGCAAGCGUUGUUCGGAAUUAUUGGGCGUAAAGGGCGCGUAGGCGGCGCGGUAUGUCUCUUGUGAAAUCUCCAGGCUCAACUUGGAGUCUGCAAGGGAAACUGCCGUGCUUGAGUACUGGAGAGGUGAGUGGAAUUCCCGGUGUAGCGGUGAAAUGCGUAGAUAUCAGGAGGAACACCAAUUGCGAAGGCAGCUCGCUGGGACGUUACUGACGCUGAGACGCGAAAGCGUGGGGAGCAAACAGG